AUUGAACGCUGGCGGCAGGCUUAACACAUGCAAGUCGAGCGGGGUGAUGGUGCUUGCACUAUCACUUAGCGGCGGACGGGUGAGUAAUGCUUAGGAAUCUGCCUAUUAGUGGGGGACAACAUCUCGAAAGGGAUGCUAAUACCGCAUACGUCCUACGGGAGAAAGCAGGGGAUCACUUGUGACCUUGCGCUAAUAGAUGAGCCUAAGUCGGAUUAGCUAGUUGGUGGGGUAAGGGCCUACCAAGGCGACGAUCUGUAGCGGGUCUGAGAGGAUGAUCCGCCACACUGGGACUGGAACACGGCCCAGACUCCAACGGGAGGCAGCAGUGGGGAAUAUUGGCCAAUGGGGGGAACCCGGAUCCAGCCAUGCCGCGUGUGUGAAGAAGGCCUUAUGGUUGUAAUGCACUUUAAGCGAGGAGGAGGCUCUUUUGGUUAAUACCCAAGAUGAGUGGACGUUACACGCAGAAUAAGCACCGGCUAACACUGUGCCAGCCGCCGCCGUAA
rnacentral:rRNA from 1 species